rnacentral:rRNA from 1 species
CCUGCGUCCUAUCAGCUUGUUGGCAGGGUAAUGGCCUACCAAGGCUAUGACGGGUAGCCGGCCUGAGAGGGUGUCCGGCCACACUGGAACUGAGACACGGUCCAGACUCCUACGGGAGGCAGCAGUGGGGAAUUUUGCGCAAUGGGGGAAACCCUGACGCAGCGACGCCGCGUGGAGGAUGACGGCCUUCGGGUUGUAAACUCCUGUCAGAAGGGACGAAAUCCCGCAAGGGACUGACGGUACCUUCAGAGGAAGCCCCGGCUAACUACGUGCCAGCAGCCGCGGUAAUACGUAGGGGGCAAGCGUUGCUCGGAAUUACUGGGCGUAAAGGGUGAGUAGGCGGUCGAGCAAGUCAAGGAUGAAAUCCCGAGGCUCAACUUCGGAAUUGUUCUUGAAACUGUUCGGCUUGAGGAUAGUUGAGGAGAGUGGAAUUCCCGGUGGAGCGGUGAAAUGCGUAGAUAUCGGGAGGAACACCUGAGGCGAAGGCGGCUCUCUAAGCUACUCCUGACGCUGAAUCACGAAAGCUAGGGGAGCAAACGGGAUUAGAUACCCCGGUAGUCCUAGCCGUAAACGAUGGACACUGGAUAUUCCGGCAUUUCUGCUGGAGUGUCGUAGCUAACGCGUUAA